UACGUAGGGGGCAAGCGUUGUCCGGAUUUAUUGGGCGUAAAGAGCGUGUAGGCGGCCAAGCAGGUCAGCUGUGAAAACUCGAGGCUCAACCUCGAGACGUCGGUUGAAACCGUUUGGCUAGAGUCCGGAAGAGGAGAGUGGAAUUCCCGGUGUAGCGGUGAAAUGCGCAGAUAUCGGGAAGAACACCCGUGGCGAAGGCGGCUCUCUGGGACGGUACUGACGCUGAGACGCGAAAGCGUGGGGAGCGAACAGG
rnacentral:rRNA from 1 species